rnacentral:tRNA from 28 species
UGGACCUUUAGCUCAGUUGGUUAGAGCAGACGGCUCAUAACCGUCCGGUCGUAGGUUCGAGUCCUACAAGGUCCAU